ensembl:lncRNA
UCUCCCAACAAGUUUUAUAAAGAAUCUGUAAAUGAAUAUUGGCAGACAGGCCUGUCUCUGAAAAACUCUUCCCUGUUCUGGUGCUCUUGGCUUCAUGCCUUUCAACAUGCUGGCCUUCCUCCAUGACAUUAAAAGACAAACACAAGUGAAAUUAAUCCAAAUAGACUUUAUUUACUAGACCAUUGUAUCCAUCCUCAUUGUGUGGUAGCAAAGAGCUUGAAGGGUUUCCUGUCUGCAAAUAUUUUUAGCAUUGUCAAGAGCUGUCCUUUUUAUCCUUUGCCAUUGUUCCUGUUAACAAAAAGGGCUCAACACCGUGCAUAAGAUCAAUAAAUACUACCCUCACUCUUAACUGUCUUCACCUGAUGUUAGGGACAUCCAUAUGUCACCAGUUCCCUCAUCACUGAGUCCCUGAAUGCCUUUUUAAAUUUAAGAUUGUUAAGAAUGUUUACUUGCUUUUAAUUAUUCAAUUGCCUUUUAAUUAGCACAUAGUUUAAUUGUUUUUAAUGUUUAGCUUGCAAUGUUUUAAAUUCUAUUCUUCUUAAUACUGUGUGGCACCUUAGGUCCCCUUAUCAGGAGGAAGGCGGUCUAUAAAUAAAAUAAAAUAAAAUAAAUCUGUCCCCUUCAUAGUAAAAUUAAGCAACAAUUAGGAACAAAACAUCAACUUUUCCCAGUACCUUGUCUCUUCUGGAAGAAAGAGCUGUGCUCAAAAAGUGCAUCAUCAUCAUCAUGGUUAAUUUUGUAAUGGCAUCUGGAGAUUUCCAAAGGUUUUCGCACUGAGCCUCCAUACCCCAGAAUAUCAGGCAGCUGUGGGGAAGAGACCAGGCAUAUAGGCUGCCUCAUACAACUGUUUGUGGGACUUAUAGCUGAGUGGCUUUUCAUCUUGAGCAUCGAUACGCUGGCUUGGGAGCAACCGUAGGUAUUUUUGCUCAGCUGCUGCCAAUGGCCAAGAGUGCGGUUCCUGCAUUCUCAGCUGAGGGGAUUAGACCAGCAAAGGAGUCCCAAUCCGAUCAAGGCUCAGAGAGUCACAACACCAGAAAGAAUCCUCCAUAUUUGCUAAGGAGGUUUCAUGAAUGCAGCGGUAAACAUCAGUGCCAGCUUCCGGAGGCACAGCCUUCCAAGUCACAAUGCCAAGCGAGACACAGCUGCAUGGCGGAAGCUCUCCUAGCGUGGUUUCUGUCUCUCUCUAAAAAUGCCAGAGACCCAAACAGGAAAGGAGAAGGGAGAGAUAACAGGAGAUGUUUCUGUCACUAGCGAAACGGAGCCUUUGGAAAGCCAAACGUCCCGGGGCACCGAGCAGCCCUGGGAAGGUUGGCGGCUCUCUUGUUGUCAGUUUGUGUCAACUCUUUACAUCCAGCCAGUUAGAUGCCCUCAGAUUUCUCCUGUCAAGAUAUCCAGCUGCUUCCCUUUCCUGAAUCCUUUUUGAUGCUUCCCUCGAAAGACACGUGGCCAUUCUUGCUUCUAGGACUAGUUGGGGCGGUGGUGGUGGAAUGCCUCACCCAGUACCCCUCAUGCCCAAUUAUUUAUUCAGAUCAGAAGUCAGAUCAAGUUUAUUGUAUUAACUAAAAGCCGUCACAAUUAUUGAAUACAGAAAAGGUCAAAUAAAAACAUGAUAAAAGCUGUAACA